rnacentral:rRNA from 1 species
UACGUAGGGUGCAAGCGUUGUCCGGAAUUAUUGGGCGUAAAGAGCUCGUAGGCGGUUUGUCGCGUCGAAUGUGAAAACCCGGGGCUCAACCCCGGGCCUGCAUUCGAUACGGGCAGACUAGAGUUCGGUAGGGGAGUCUGGAAUUCCUGGUGUAGCGGUGAAAUGCGCAGAUAUCAGGAGAACACCGGUGGCGAAGGCGGGACUCUGGGCCGAUACUGACGCUGAGGAGCGAAAGCGUGGGGAGCGAACGG